GCCUCUCCCGCGGGCUCUGAAUUCGGGCACGGCAGGGAUCCCUGGAGCAGAUCCCGCCCUUCUGGCGGCCGGCCCGGAGCUUCGCUGAGGGCGCGGCGCUGCCGGGGCCGGGCCGAGCCCUGCCCGGGCCGGGCCCCGCAGCCCCCGAGGCUGCCCGGCUGCCGCAGCAGGAGCUGCUGCCGCUGCCCGGGGCUGCUCCGGCCCCGCAGGAGCUCUCGGGAGCCCCGAGCGGAGCACACGGCAUCGAGCCCGAGCUGCUGAGCUCCCAUCCCCGCUCCUGACGCUCCGCGACGGGCUCGGAUCCGCGGGCCGGAAUGAGCUGGGCAGGUGGGACGCCGCUUUGAUCCGCGCUUGGGGCGCUCGGGACCGCAGGAGAAGUGCCACCGGCAGCUGUCAUUGGUUUGGCCAUUUGUAUGGCAUUUGUGUCUGAGUUCGGCCUUAUUUGGCUGUGCCAUAUCUGGGAGCAUAAAAACUAUUUUUCAUGAAGUUAUUAUUAGAAUUGGCAACUGUCCCAUUGUUGGUGUCCACACAUUUGCGUUCACAAGUACACACUUCGCCUGUUUGUACCUGACAUGAAACACAGCUUUGCAUCUCACAGGUGAUGGAGUAACUAAUCCUGGAAACCAUUCCAAACAAGUGGAGAAGUCAAUUGGGAGUAAUGAUUACCUACCUAAUGCCCGUGACAGGGCAGCCAAACGGAUGGAUAUGGAGCAAUGGAUGAUGUCUACCCCAGCUUUACCCAAGCCUUUGAGACAAUCUCCUACAGCAUCCCUAAACACAAACUGCCAAAACGCCCAGUGAGGAAGGCUGAAAAAUGGAUGAGGCACAAAGUAGAGCUGGAGCCACCCCGGGCACUUCAGGGCCCAGCGCUCCCGCUGGCAGUACAGCCUGUGCAGCAUAGACAGCCUCCAGCUCAUCACAGAAUGCACCUGGGGAGGAGGAAUGGCCACCAGCAAAUCUAGGCUUUGCCGUAGAGAAAAGGAUUCGGGAGAUCCGGAGGUCUCUGUCUGAAAGAUCUCCCUCUGCUCAGGGCAAUGUUGGUGUUGCCCCUGAUUCUUCAGGAGGGGAGCCUGUGGACAGAGCUGCAGCAGAGGAAGCUUCAUCUGGCACCAAGAGCUGCAGGAACAGUUCCCAGGAGCCCGAGGAGCCUGAUGCCAUCUGACCAACAUCUCCAGGAGGGCUGCCCUGCAUGGCAGGAAGAGACAGGGGAGAGCCUGUGACCAUCGGGCAGGUAGAACUCCUCUGUUUGUAGAUAUGUUUAUAGAUUUCUAUGGUUC